rnacentral:misc_RNA from 1 species
GAAAUGCGAUAAGUAAUGUGAAUUGCAGAAUUCAGUGAAUCAUCGAAUCUUUGAACGCACAUUGCGCCCGCCAGCAUUCUGGCGGGCAUGCCUGUUCGAGCGUCAUUUCAACCCUCGAGCCCGACUCUUUUGAGGACGGCUCGGCGUUGGGGGACGGCAGGUUUAA